rnacentral:rRNA from 1 species
AUACGGAGGGUGCAAGCGUUAUUCGGAAUCACUGGGCGUAAAGGACGCGUAGGCGGGUUGGCAAGUCAGAUGUGAAAUCCUACAGCUUAACUGUAGAACUGCAUUUGAAACUGCUAACCUAGAGUAUGGGAGGGGGAGAUGGAAUUAGUGGUGUAGGGGUAAAAUCCGUAGAUAUCACUAGGAGUACCGAAAGCGAAGGCGAUCUCCUGGAACAUAACUGACGCUAAGGCGUGAAAGCGUGGGGAGCAAACAGGAUUAGAUACCCUAGUAGUCC